rnacentral:rRNA from 1 species
AUUGAACGCUGGCGGCAUGCCUUACACAUGCAAGUCGAACGGUAACAGGUUAAGCUGACGAGUGGCGAACGGGUGAGUAAUACAUCGGAACGUGCCCAGUAGUGGGGGAUAGCCCGGCGAAAGCCGGAUUAAUACCGCAUACGACCUAAGGGUGAAAGGGGGGAUCGCAAGACCUCUCGCUAUUGGAGCGGCCGAUGUCAGAUUAGCUAGUUGGUGGGGUAAAAGCUCACCAAGGCGACGAUCUGUAGCUGGUCUGAGAGGACGACCAGCCACACUGGGACUGAGACACGGCCCAGACUCCUACGGGAGGCAGCAGUGGGGAAUUUUGGACAAUGGGCGCAAGCCUGAUCCAGCCAUGCCGCGUGCGGGAAGAAGGCCUUCGGGUUGUAAACCGCUUUUGUCAGGGAAGAAAUCCUUUGGGUUAAUACCUCGGGGGGAUGACGGUACCUGAAGAAUAAGCACCGGCUAACUACGUG